rnacentral:rRNA from 1 species
CUACGGGGUGCAGCAGUGAGGAAUAUUGCACAAUGGGGGGAACCCUGAUGCAGCAACGCCGCGUGGAGGAUGACGCAUUUCGGUGUGUAAACUCCUUUUAUAUGUCAAGAAAAUGACGGUAGCAUAUGAAUAAGCACCAGCUAACUCCGUGCCAGCAGCCGCGGUAAUACGGAGGGUGCAAGCGUUACUCGGAAUCACUGGGCGUAAAGGACGCGUAGGCGGGUUGGAAAGUCAGAUGUGAAAUCCUACAGCUUAACUGUAGAACUGCACUUGAAACUUCUAAUCUAGAGUAUGGGAGGGGGAGAUGGAAUUAGUGGUGUAGGGGUAAAAUCCGUAGAUAUCACUAGGAAUACCUAAAGCGAAGGCGAUCUCCUGGAACAUUACUGACGCUAAGGCGUGAAAGCGUGGGGAGCAAACAGGAUUAGAUACCCGUGUAGUC